ensembl:lncRNA
UUUACAUUACUCUGAAUGUAUUGAGCUAUAGCACUCACGGGAUUGUAUUCGUCAUUUACUACAGUCGUGGAAAAAUUGACCAUUACGAAUUUGCGAAAAUUGUGUGACGACUUUAAAUAGUCAACUCCUCCUCUCCCGUAUCCCCACAAGCACCGCAACACACACUCAAGGAAAAACUUGAAUGAAAAACUUAAAAUGAUCCACCAGCUGACUUACGUUGGCGCAGAUUCAAAUCAAGACACACUGUUUUAUUUUCUUAUUUCGUUCAAAUUAGAACACUUUUUCCAACUCUUGUUUGGUUUCAAAAAGACCAUUUCCGCUGAAGUGGGUAACCACUGUGGUUCUCCUGAACCACAGGGUUCAGGAGAGGUAACAGAGGGAGGCAGUGAGACAGGCUAGGGUUCAGGAGAGGUAACAGAGGGAGGCAGUGAGACAGGCUAGGGUUCAGGAGAGGUAACAGAGGGAGGCAGUGAGACAGGCUAGGGUUCAGGAGAGGUAACAGAGGGAGGCAGUGAGACAGGCUAGGGUUCAGGAGAGGUAACAGAGGGAGGCAGUGAGACAGGCUAGGGUUCAGGAGAGGCAACAGAGGGAGGCAGUGAGACAGGCUAUGGUUAGGUAAUGCAGCAGGCGGGAGGAGUGAAACUGGAACAUGUCCCAUCACAGUCAACCUGAUGUACAAAACAGACGAAGCACAACACAGUAAAAAAAAGAGCUUUGCAACACCCGCGUGCCGAAUUAAACGCCAAGCCUUGAGCCAGG